AUUGAACGCUGGCGGCAUGCCUUACACAUGCAAGUCGAACGGCAGCACGGGAGCAAUCCUGGUGGCGAGUGGCGAACGGGUGAGUAAUAUAUCGGAACGUGCCCAGUCGUGGGGAUAACGUAGCGAAAGCUACGCUAAUACCGCAUACGAUCUAUGGAUGAAAGCGGGGGAUCGCAAGACCUCGCGCGAUUGGAGCGGCCGAUAUCAGAUUAGGUAGUUGGUGAGGUAAAGGCUCACCAAGCCGACGAUCUGUAGCUGGUCUGAGAGGACGACCAGCCACACUGGGACUGAGACACGGCCCAGACUCCUACGGGAGGCAGCAGUGGGGAAUUUUGGACAAUGGGCGCAAGCCUGAUCCAGCAAUGCCGCGUGCAGGAUGAAGGCCUCGGUUG
rnacentral:rRNA from 1 species